rnacentral:rRNA from 1 species
AUUGAACGCUGGCGGCAGGCUUAACACAUGCAAGUCGAACGGCAGCACAGUAGAGCUUGCUCUCUGGGUGGCGAGUGGCGGACGGGUGAGGAAUACAUCGGAAUCUACUUUUUCGUGGGGGCUAACGUAGGGCAACUUACGCUAAUCUCGCAUACGACCUACGGGUGAAAGCAGGGGAUCAUAGGACCUUGCGCGAUUGAAUGAGCCGAUGGCGGAUUAGCUAGUUGGCGGGGUAAAGGCCCACCAAGGCGACGAUCCGUAGCUGGUCUGAGAGGAUGAUCAGCCACACUGGAACUGAGACACGGUCCAGACUCCUACGGGAGGCAGCAGUGGGGAAUAUUGGACAAUGGGCGCAAGCCUGAUCCAGCCAUACCGCGUGGGUGAAGAAGGCCUUCGGGUUGUAAAGCCCUUUUGUUGGGAAAGAAAUCCAGCUGGUUAAUACCCGGUUGGGAUGACGGUACCCAAAGAAUAAGCACCGGCUAACUUCGUGCCAGCCGCCGCCGUAA